rnacentral:rRNA from 1 species
AGCGAACGUUAGCGGCGGGCCUAACACAUGCAAGUCGAACGCGAAAGGUCUUCGGACUGAGUAGAGUGGCGCACGGGUGAGUAACACGUAGGUAAUCUACCCUUUGGCGGGGGAUAACGUUCCGAAAGGAGCGCUAAUACCGCAUAAGACCACGGAGUCUCCGGACGCUGUGGGAAAAGGUGGCCUCUUCUUGAAAGCUAUCACCGAAGGAUGAGCCUGCGUCCCAUCAGCUAGUUGGUAAGGUAAUGGCUUACCAAGGCGAAGACGGGUAGCUGGUUUGAGAGAAUGAUCAGCCACACUGGCACUGGAACACGGGCCAGACUCCUACGGGAGGCAGCAGUGAGGAAUAUUGGGCAAUGGGCGAAAGCCUGACCCAGCCACGCCGCGUGAGUGAUGAAGGCCCUCGGGUCGUAAAGCUCUGUGGAGAGGGACGAAAACCCUGGUUUCAAAUAGGCUCCAGGCUUGACGGUACCUCUUUAGCAAGCACCGGCUAACUCUGUGCCAG